rnacentral:rRNA from 1 species
UACAGAGGUCCCGAGCGUUGUUCGGAUUCACUGGGCGUAAAGGGUGCGUAGGUGGCCGGGUAAGUUUGACGUGAAAUCUCCGGGCUUAACCCGGAAACGGCGUUGAAUACUAUCCGGCUGGAGGGUUGGAGGGGGGACUGGAAUUCUCGGUGUAGCAGUGAAAUGCGUAGAUAUCGAGAGGAACACCGGUGGCGAAGGCGAGUCCCUGGACAACACCUGACACUGAGGCACGAAAGCUAGGGGAGCAAACAGG